rnacentral:rRNA from 1 species
CCAAUAGCGUAUAUUAAAGUUGUUGCAGUUAAAAAGCUCGUAGUUGAAUUUCGGAAUCUAUCCGUCGGUCGGGCUUAACUGUCCGCACUGGUGUGAUGGGUUCCUACCUUCUGAAUAACCGGCAUGCCAUUAAUUUGGUGCGCCGGGGAAGCAGGACUGUUACCUUGAAAAAAUUAGAGUGCUUAAAGCAGGCUAUCGCCUGAAUACAUUAGCAUGGAAUAAUGAAAUAGGACGGCAUGGUUCUAUUUUGUUGGUUUCUAGGAUCACCGUAAUGAUUAAUAGGGAUAGUUGGGGGCAUUAGUAUUCAAUUGUCAGAGGUGAAAUUCUUGGAUUUAUUGAAGACUAACUUCUGCGAAAGCAUUUGCCAAGGAUGUUUUCAUUAAUCAAGAACGAAAGUUAGGGGAUCGAAGACGAUCAGAUACCGUCGUAGUCUUAACCAUAAACUAUGCCGACUAGGGAUCGGACGAUGUUAAUUUUUUAAUGACUCGUUCGGCGCCUUACG